rnacentral:tRNA from 1 species
AAAGUUGUAGCUCAGGUAGAGCAUCCCGAUGGUAAUCGGGAAGGUCGCUGAGUUUGAUUCUCACUAACG